UAGGGAAUAUUGGACAAUGGGGGAAACCCUGAUCCAGCCAUGCCGCGUGAGUGCUAAGGCCUUCGGGUUGUAAAGCUCUUUUGGUAGGGACGAUGAUGACGGUACCUACAGAAUAAGCUCCGGCUAACUUCGUGCCAGCAGCCGCGGUGAUACGAAGGGAGCUAGCGUUGUUCGGAAUUACUGGGCGUAAAGGGCGUGUAGGUGGUACGGCCAGUCAGAUGUGAAAGCCCUGGGCUCAACCCAGGAACUGCAUUUGAUACUGCCAUACUAGAAUUCGGGAGAGGUAAGUGGAAUUCCCAGUGUAGAGGUGAAAUUCGUAGAUAUUGGGAAGAACACCCGUGGCGAAGGCGGCUUACUGGACCGACAUUGACACUGAGACGCGAAAGUGUGGGGAGCAAACAGGAUUAGAUACCCCCGUAGUCC
rnacentral:rRNA from 1 species